UGGAAAUGCCUAAUAAGUCAAAGAAGAUG
rnacentral:piRNA from 1 species